rnacentral:rRNA from 1 species
GACGGGGCCGCACAAGCGGUGGAGCAUGUGGUUAAUUCGAUGCAACGCGAAGAACUUACCUGGGCUUGACAUCCCGAGAAUCUCCUGGAAACAGGAGAGUGCCUUCGGGGAACUCGGUGACAGGUGCUGCAUGGCUGUCGUCAGCUCGUGUCGUGAGAUGUUGGGUUAAGUCCCGCAACGAGCGCAACCCUUGUCUUUAAUUGCCAUCAUUCAGUUGGGCACUUUAAAGAGACUGCCGGUGUCAAACCGGAGGAAGGUGGGGGCGACGUCAAAUCAUCAUGCCCUUUAUGUCCUGGGCUACACACGUACUACAAUGGCCGUUACAACGGGAAGCGAAGGAGCAAUCCGGAGCAAAUCCCUUAAAGGCGGUCCCAGUUCAGAUUGUGGGCUGAAACUCGCCCACAUGAAGGCGGAAUUGCUAGUAAUUGCAGAUCAGCAUGCUGCAGUGAAUACGUUCCCGGGCCUU